UGUUUUCAACUCACUGCCUUGGCUUUCUAUACUUUAUUUUUACUUUCACUUUAUGUAGAACACAGAAUCUACCCCAACUCGAGCAGACCUCCCCUAGGUGUCAAGGGCCUAAUUAAGAAUGGAGUAGGAGAAUCGCUGAAAGCUGAGAGAGGGAAAGUGAGACAUUCUGUUCCCUUCCCAUAAUCUUUCAAGUUGUUCAAUUUCUUAUCACCUAACAACUUUUCCAGUGAGGAAGAGACUAUUGCAAUGGAUGCCCAGAUGGCAAGUGUGUUGAGGAAUAUCAUUGGCAUGUGGACAGUAACAUGGUUAUUCUCUACAACUUGGUUACUCACCCAGAGAGAACGUCUUCAGAAAAAGAACUUUUGGUGGCACCUGUAUGGGAUCCUGACAGGGACUUUUCCAUUGGAAAUAGGUGUUUGUAUUUGUUAUUUGUGGACCCGGCACAGUUGCCCAGGGUUUAUUCUCGAUGAGGACUGGAAGAACUGGCUUGUCUGGAGUGUCGUGUUGAUCUUCUUCAUAUUCUUAAUUGUGAUAGCUAUGGAACUUGAAUAUGGAUUUUUUAUCUUUUUUGUCAUGAUGCUGUUUUCAAUGAAUUUAGGUGAUAUUGAGAGCAUCAUCUUUCUGCUGCCUCUACUAAGGAUGAUUUUAACUAUCAUUUUUGAAAUUUUUGUUUAAAGUUUUGAGUUCCAAAUUCUAUCUCUCCCUCACUCUCCCUUCCCCCCUUCCUUCU